UACGUAGGUGGCAAGCGUUGUCCGGAAUUAUUGGGCGUAAAGCGCGCGCAGGCGGUCCCUUAAGUCUGAUGUGAAAGCCCACGGCUCAACCGUGGAGGGUCAUUGGAAACUGGGGGACUUGGGUACAGAAGAGGAAAGCGGAAUUCCACGUGUAGCGGUGAAAUGCGUAGAGAUGUGGAGGAACACCAGUGGCGAAGGCGGCUUUCUGGUCUGUAACUGACGCUGAGGCGCGAAAGCGUGGGGAGCAAACAGG
rnacentral:rRNA from 1 species